CUCCCACUUUCCCUCCCACUAAUCCUAUCCACCACUAUACUGUCAUCAUCAUCAUGCCCUUAUCAUCAAUACCCCAACACGCCUCCUGCAAAAUUCAGCCAAGAAUAACAGGAAGCACUAUGACAACAGCCGCACGCCUCAACAUAUAGUUCCAAAGGCUUUGUGACCAGGGGGAUUAGCGCUGCUUUCCCAAGACAGGUUUAUAAGUGAUUAUGAUCUUCAGGCUUUGCCUAACCAGGUGGGCUUACUUUCCAAAUGUACAAAGUAUGAUUGAGUUAUUAAGCUCUAAAUGUUUCAAUGAAAUGCAAAUUGUUUAUUUAAUGUAAUGAAAACUGUUUAUCCAAUAAAAUAUUUUGUGCACUCUGCUCUGUUUAAGGCUCGCAUAAGUUAAUCGAUCGAGGUUCUCUUAUGACCUAACACGUUGUUUGAGAAUUGUGUACACCUAUUAGCUGACUCGGUGGGUUGAUCUCCAUUCGGGCACUAAUCAUGUAUGAGGCGUUAUAAGGGUGCUCGACGGGAUGUGUUCCAGAGCAUUGGGUCCCAAAUGGGAACUUGACUGGGUUACGCCCUCAGUUCAAGUAAAGCGGGAGAUAUGGAUCCGUCGGUGGCUAAAAGGUCCGGGAUCACAGCGAGUAACGGAAAGGGAGUGUGACAUGUGCGCACAAAUGAAAGAAAAUAUUUUAACAUGCUUAGAAGUACUUCUUUCAAUUUAAAACCUUCUAAGUCAUGUCAAGUAUGAUUGGAUAAACUGUCUUUAAGAAAAUAAUGAAAUGUUUAUGAAAAUGCAUGCCCACUAAGUACAUUAGUACUUAGCCCAAAAAUACUUUCAAAUGUUUUCAGGUUGGCUGGCCGGUGCUGACGGGACGGAGCUGAGGCUAGAGUUAAAUUCCUAUGUUAGACUUCCGCUGUAGCAAUUACUCUUAUACAUCUUUUGUUUUCUCAACUUAAGAUGACUUCAUGUCGAGCUUAAAUUUGAAAUUCUAGUUUUAUGCUAAUGAAUGUUGGUUGUCAGAAACAUGAAACAAAACUUGUGAUCCAAAGGGGCAUAGCCCGACUUUCUAUCCUAUUUCGGGUUUUUACAAGGUUGUUCCUUGUUUAUUUCUA